rnacentral:lncRNA from 1 species
AAUAGAGAGACAAUCAGUUCUCUUUCUCUCCCUUUCUCGUUCUUCAUUUCUUCAGUUUCAUCUUGAUCAAUCUGUCAAAUAGAGUAUGUUAACAUGGUAUCAGAGCAGCGAUUCUGAUUCUGCUCGUCACCGGCUUUCUUGCGAUGUUACCCUCGUCAAUUUUCAUCCGAGUUUCUCUGGUAUCUGAAAAUCUAGGGUUUUCUCAAUUGCUGGGUUUUCCGCUGCAAUUGUUUGUUUUUUUGAGGUUUCUACUUUAUCGGCUCCAUCGGUUGGAAGAGUAAGUCGAUUCCUAAGGAUUUGGAUAUCCAAGAACUGUUAGGGUUUGGAUUCGUGAAGUUUCAGGCUCGGUAAGGAUUCUCAGUCACCAAAAAUGGUUAACGUAGGUGAUAC